UACGGGGGGGGGCAAGCGUUGUUCGGAAUUACUGGGCGUAAAGGGCUCGUAGGCGGCCAACUAAGUCAGACGUGAAAUCCCCAGGCUCAACCUGGGAACUGCGUCUGAUACUGGAUGGCUUGAAUCCGGGAGAGGGAUGCAGAAUUCCAGGUGUAGCGGUGAAAUGCGUAGAUAUCAAGCGGAACACCGGUGGCGAAGGCGGCCUUCUGGACAGUGACUGACGCUGAGACGCGAAAGCGUGGGGAGCAAACAGG
rnacentral:rRNA from 1 species